CGAUGAAUACUAGGUGUGGGAGUUUAUAUAACUUCCGUGCCGCAGUUAACACAAUAAGUAUUCCGCCUGGGGAGUACGGUCGCAAGAUUAAAACUCAAAGGAAUUGACGGGGGCCCGCACAAGCAGCGGAGCAUGUGGUUUAAUUCGAAGCAACGCGAAGAACCUUACCUGGACUUGACAUCUCCUGAAUUACUCGUAAUGGAGGAAGCCCUUCGGGGCAGGGAGACAGGUGGUGCAUGGCUGUCGUCAG
rnacentral:rRNA from 1 species